rnacentral:rRNA from 1 species
UACGUAGGGUGCAAGCGUUGUCCGGAAUUAUUGGGCGUAAAGAGCUCGUAGGCGGUUCGUCGCGUCGGCUGUGAAAUCCCGGAGCUCAACUCCGGGUCUGCAGUCGAUACGGGCGGACUCGAGUUCGGCAGGGGAGACUGGAAUUCCUGGUGUAGCGGUGAAAUGCGCAGAUAUCAGGAGGAACACCGGUGGCGAAGGCGGGUCUCUGGGCCGAUGACUGACGCUGAGGAGCGAAAGCGUGGGGAGCGAACAGG